AUUGAACGCUGGCGGCAUGCCUUACACAUGCAAGUCGAACGGUAACGGGCCUUCGGGUGCCGACGAGUGGCGAACGGGUGAGUAAUGUAUCGGAACGUACCUUUCAGUGGGGGAUAACGUAGCGAAAGUUACGCUAAUACCGCAUAUUCUGUGAGCAAGAACGCAGGGGAUCGCAAGACCUUGCGCUGAUUGAGCGGCCGAUAUCAGAUUAGCUAGUUGGUGAGGUAAAGGCUCACCAAGGCGACGAUCUGUAGCGGGUCUGAGAGGAUGAUCCGCCACACUGGAACUGAGACACGGUCCAGACUCCUACGGGAGGCAGCAGUGGGGAAUUUUGGACAAUGGGGGCAACCCUGAUCCAGCCAUGCCGCGUGAGUGAAGAAGGCCUUCGGGUUGUAAAGCUCUUUCGGCCGGGAAGAAAUCGUAUCAGCUAAUACCUGGUGCGGACGACGGUACCGGAAUAAGAAGCACCGGCUAACUACGUGCCAGCAGCCGCCGUAACAC
rnacentral:rRNA from 1 species